AACGAACGCUGGCGGCAUGCCUAACACAUGCAAGUCGAACGAGACCUUCGGGUCUAGUGGCGCACGGGUGCGUAACGCGUGGGAACCUGCCCUUAGGUUCGGAAUAACUCCCCGAAAGGGGUGCUAAUACCGGAUAAUGUCUUCGGACCAAAGAUUUAUCGCCUUUGGAUGGGCCCGCGUUGGAUUAGCUAGUUGGUAGGGUAAAAGCCUACCAAGGCGACGAUCCAUAGCUGGUCUGAGAGGAUGAUCAGCCACACUGGGACUGAGACACGGCCCAGACUCCUACGGGAGGCAGCAGUGGGGAAUAUUGGACAAUGGGCGAAAGCCUGAUCCAGCAAUGCCGCGUGAGUGAUGAAGGCCUUAGGGUUGUAAAGCCCUUUUACCCGGGAUGAUAAAGACAGUACCGGGAGAAUAAGCUCCGGCUAACUCCGUG
rnacentral:rRNA from 1 species